GGGGCCCACCCAGGCUUGAGGGUAGCAGGGAACGGACGCACAGACGCUGGAGACUUAGCUCUGUCGGUCGGCCUGUGGGUCCUCUUGCCCCGACGCGUCCCCACCCAGCUCCAGAACCCUCCGUCACCCUAGUACGGUGGUCUGCGACGCUCGCCUGCAGCGGAAGCGCGGCGUGCCAUCCCCCCCCCCCGCUGUGUCAGCCACUCCCCCU
rnacentral:lncRNA from 14 species